rnacentral:rRNA from 1 species
ACGAACGCUGGCGGCAUGCCUAACACAUGCAAGUCGAACGAAGCCUUCGGGCUUAGUGGCGCACGGGUGCGUAACACGUGGGAAUCUGCCCUUCGGUUCGGAAUAACAGUUAGAAAUGACUGCUAAUACCGGAUGAUGACGAAAGUCCAAAGAUUUAUCGCCGAAGGAUGAGCCCGCGUAGGAUUAGGUAGUUGGUAGGGUAAUGGCCUACCAAGCCGACGAUCCUUAGCUGGUCUGAGAGGAUGAUCAGCCACACUGGGACUGAGACACGGCCCAGACUCCUACGGGAGGCAGCAGUGGGGAAUAUUGGACAAUGGGCGAAAGCCUGAUCCAGCAAUGCCGCGUGAGUGAUGAAGGCCUUAGGGUUGUAAAGCUCUUUUACCAGGGAUGAUAAUGACAGUACCUGGAGAAUAAGCUCCGGCUAACUCCGUGCCAGCAGCCGCGGUAAUACGGAGGGAGCUAGCGUUGUUCGGAAUUACUGGGCGUAAAGCGCACGUAGGCGGUUACCCAAGUCAGAGG